GGAAGAAGAAGAAGAAGAAGAAGAAGAAGAAGAAGAAGAAGAAGAAGAAGAAGAAGAAGAAGAAGAGGCAGCAGCAGCAGCAGCAAUAGUAGCGUGCAGUUGCUAAGUGAUGGGGUUCCUUAAAUCAAGCUGCCGGGAUGGAAUGGGAAUGCUCAGCUACAUGACUCCACGCUUCUUGGCAGGUCUAGGCAUUUACAGAUUUCACAGCAGUCCGUGCUGUGCUUGUGAACAACUAGGACAUGUUGACAGUCUUAGUUGAAGUAGCCUAGCAGAUCUUGUGGAUGUGCAAACUGACAACUUCACUUUGGAACACUGUCACACACUUUGGCCAACUUACACAAGACCAUGCCACCUUUCCUGCAGCUAGUCUGAGCAGCAGGUUGUCCAACUUGGAUAUUAGUCCCCUGAGUAGAUAGAUGAGUGAGACAUUUGAAGUCUUAACCUAGUUGUAUAUUUUCUUGCUGAGGGUAAAGUUGAGCAUUAAAAACAAAAUCUGUUUGAGGGCUUAUGGUAGUUUGACUAAGAUGUCCUCCAUAGUCUUCAGCAUGGGAACACUUGGUCCAUAGUUAGUGGUCUUGCAUGGGAAGUCUUAAAAGGUGUGGUCUUGCUGGAAGAAGUGUAUCACUGGAGAUGGACCUUGAGAGCUUAAAGACUUGCACCAUUCCCAGUUCAUCUCUCUGCUUCUUGCCUGUGGUUCAAGGUAUGAGCCCCCAGCUUUCUGUUCCUGCUGCCAUUUCUUUGUUCCACCAUCAUAGACUAAUCCUCUGCAACUGCAUCCCAAAUAAACCCUUCCUUCCUUAAGUUGCCUUGGUCGUGGCAUUUUAUUGAAGCAACAGAAAGUAACUGAUACAGAAACUGGUAGCAGCAAUGGUACUAUUGCUAUGACAGACCUCACUGUGCUGCUUUUAGGGGAGUGUGGAAGAUGCUGGGUCUCUGGACUAGAAAAGCAGGGCCUAAUGGAACAUCCUAGUAGAAGCCUGGGAGACAGUGCUAGAACAAUUUGGACUGUGGAGACUCAGUUCAAGGGAG
rnacentral:lncRNA from 1 species